rnacentral:sRNA from 1 species
CUAUUUAUGAUCUAAUACAAGUUCUUCACAUUCCUAGUCAGCUCUCUGUGGCGGUUGUUGGUGUAUGGGUUUAAUUCAGCAUCCUUUCUACUCUAAAGGUCUCCCUCAUUCUACUGUACACGUUUUUGGUAGUUUUAUACAUGUAUUUAUAUACAUGACCUAUGUUUGUGUAGUGACAUGCAUGUGUAAUGUCAAUGCCUUUUAAGUUGUCUUUAAAGUUACUAGGAAAGUUAAAACCAAGAUAUAUUCACUCACAUACCUACAUAUCUGUUUAACUUUAUGCUUCUGCAUUGGACCACACUCAUGCAACAGCUAAAAAAGUUGUGUACAAAUGGGCAUCUUCAUUGUGGAUCACAAGUAUUUAUCACAUUUAAAAAAGUGCACUGCAAUCAUAUGUGUGUCCAGUUUUCACUUGUUCUCUGUUAAUUAUUUCAUAUUGAUUAAGUCUCUGAAUCAACUACUCACCAUAGUAUAUUUCAUUUACAGUGUACUAGUAGUUAAAUGAGUAAGAAGAGAAAUCCAUUUUUUUCUGAUUAAGAUACAUAAACUGACCAUGUGCAAAAUACACUGCAUAGUACGUGAUAUGAGCUCGAGUAUAAUCAGCGUCUCAUUGUUAACUAUAUAUUUGAAGAGAGCUACAUGUAUUUGUGUUCUUUCUGUUAGAAACAACCAGGUGUGCUUAUUUUUUACAACUUACAUUGCAAUUACAUGCACAAUGUAUAUUUUAUAUCAACCUUCAUAUGACUAAAUGUAAUGUGUAUUUCUGGGCGAUUUAUUUCAUUGCCAGACCAAACAAUUCUAUUUUGAAUAAAUAAAUGGUAUAAACACUUAUCAUUUGGCUUUCAAAUUGAUUCAUUUAUAAGGGGAAACAAACCGUACAAAUACUAAAUCAUUCAUAAAAAAAAAUAGUUGUUUUCAUAGCAUAAUAUUUCAAUUAUUUUAUAUAACAUAAGUUUUAUGUUUACACAAUUCAUUAAGACAUUUAUUACAAGCAUAAAUUCUCUGCAAGUUACAACUACCGGUAGUAUUUCGUUUAACUUACUAGUGCAUGUUAAAUUAUUGUCAUAUUUUAGAUCAUUUGUGAAAAAGUGAGUACAUUAGUCUUAAGAUUUUAAAAAUGUUGUAUUAAUUAACGAAGUUUGUGAGGAACAACAGUAUUUAUCAUAGUUAUUUAACUAUCAUUAAAAAUGUGAUAAAAUCAAAGCAAU